GACGAACGCUGGCGGCGUGCUUAACACAUGCAAGUCGAACGGAAAGGCCCUGCUUUCAGGGUACUCGAGUGUCGAACGGGUGAGUAUAACGUGUGUGAUCUGCCCUGCACUUCUGGAGAAACCUUGGAAACUGUGUCUAAUACCGGAUAGGAGCCAUUUUUAUUCUGAUUGUUGGAAAGUUUUUUCGGUGUAGGAUGAGCUCGCGGCCUAUCAGCUUGUUUGUGGGGUAAUGGCCUACCAAGGCGGCGACGGGUAGCCGGCCUGGGAGGGUGGACGGCCACAUUGGGGCUGGGAUAACGCCCAGAACUCUAAGGGAGGCAGCAGGGGGGAAUAUUGCAAAAUGGGCGGAAGCCUGAUGCAGCGACGCCGCGUGGGGGAUGACGGCCUUCGGGUUGUAAACCCCUUUCGCUAGGGACGAAGCUUUUUGUGACGGUAACUAGAUAAGAAGCACCGGCUAACUACGUG
rnacentral:rRNA from 1 species